CUACGCACUCCUACGGGAGGCAGCAGUGGGGAAUAUUGCACAAUGGGCGCAAGCCUGAUGCAGCCAUGCCGCGUGUAUGAAGAAGGCCUUCGGGUUGUAAAGUACUUUCAGCAGUGAGGAAGGUGGGUAUGUUAAUAGCAUAUUCAUUUGACGUUAGCUGCAGAAGAAGCACCGGCUAACUCCGUGCCAGCAGCCGCGGUAAUACGGAGGGUGCGAGCGUUAAUCGGAAUUACUGGGCGUAAAGCGCAUGCAGGUGGUUUGUUAAGUCAGAUGUGAAAGCCCGGGGCUCAACCUCGGAAUUGCAUUUGAAACUGGCAAACUAGAGUACUGUAGAGGGGGUAGAAUUUCAGGUGUAGCGGUGAAAUGCGUAGAGAUCUGAAGGAAUACCGGUGGCGAAGGCGGCCCCCUGGACAGAUACUGACACUCAGAUGCGAAAGCGUGGGGAGCAAACAGGAUUAGAUACCCUGAUAG
rnacentral:rRNA from 1 species